GGCAUUUGAUGUUCGUAAAUAAUAUAAAUAUUUAUUGUACUGUACCUGUACAGUAUAUACUGUACUGUUCACGUUUUAAAAUAAAGUAUAUAACACAUAAUAAAACAAGUUGGUUAACAUGUUAUGAUACUGUUAGUAAUGGAAUUAUCAUCACUUGUCUGAGCUGUUACAAGUAAUCUUCGUCACUGCCUUAAUAAUUACCUGUCCAAUAAUAAGGAAGGUGGCUUAUACAUGGGGGCUUAUAUUUGGGGGAGGGCAGGGGUUAUAUUUGGACUGGCCUAAGCAUUAGUAAAUGUGGUGGACUUAAACACAAUGGGGUUAUAUUGGGGGGGGGGGCUUUAAUUCAGAGGUUUACAGUGUGACAAAAAAGCAACAGGGAGGUAGCUUUAUGAGACGAUAUGAUUAUGGCUUAAUAUCCCAGUGGUUACUACUGUAAGCUUGUGAUAUCCAAUAGUCCAAAUUUAAAAUAUGAUAUCCAAUGGUUAUGACUGUAACUUCCUGUGUUUAUAACAUACUGUAGUUUUAAAAAGCCAUUGGAAAUAAUACUGACAUCAGUAAUAUUUUCAAGACUCUAAUUGAAGCAGGAAGAAUUGUGUUGACUGGAAACUUUUAGUAGAGUAUGUGACACUUUUAAAAUGAAUAUAUACUGCACAGAACAUAUAUGAUAGUCCUCUUUGUAGCUUUGAUUUUAGAAUUUUGUGAUAUAUGUCACAUGAAAACAAUUAUAGUAAUUUUGAUACUUUGGCUUAGCUGUCUAGAUCACCACUUGAUUAAUUAUUGUGCAGGUGACAAAUUAGCUUAUGCAUGUAUCUUGUUACCUAUAAGUGGUGCACAUGUUAAAAAGGUUUGUUUGACUUG